rnacentral:rRNA from 1 species
CUUAACACAUGCAAGUCGAGGGGUAUAGUAGCAAUACUAGAGACCGGCGCACGGGUGCGUAACGCGUAUGCAAUCUACCUUUUGCAGAGGGAUAGCCCAGAGAAAUUUGGAUUAAUACCUCAUAGUAUAACGACUCGGCAUCGAGAUGUUAUUAAAGUCACAACGGCAAAAGAUGAGCAUGCGUCCCAUUAGUUAGUUGGUAAGGUAACGGCUUACCAAGACUACGAUGGGUAGGGGUCCUGAGAGGGAGAUCCCCCACACUGGUACUGAGACACGGACCAGACUCCUACGGGAGGCAGCAGUGAGGAAUAUUGGACAAUGGGCGCAAGCCUGAUCCAGCCAUGCCGCGUGCAGGAUGACGGUCCUAUGGAUUGUAAACUGCUUUUGCACAGGAAGAAACAACGCUACGUGUAGCGUCUUGACGGUACUGUGAGAAUAAGGAUCGGCUAACUCCGUGCCAGCAGCCGCGGUAAUACGGAGGAUCCAAGCGUUAUCCGGAAUCAUUGGGUUUAAAGGGUCCGUAGGCGGUCUUAUAAGUCAGUGGUGAAAUCUCCCCGCUCAACGGGGAAACGGCCAUUGAUACUGUAGGACUUGAAUUAUUAGGAAGUAACUAGAAUAUGUAGUGUAGCGGUGAAAUGCUUAGAGAUUACAUGGAAUACCAAUUGCGAAGGCAGGUUACUACUAAUGGAUUGACGCUGAUGGACGAAAGCGUGGGUAGCGAACAGGAUUAGAUACCCUGGUAGUCCACGCCGUAAACGAUGGAUACUAGCUGUUGGGCGCAAGUUCAGUGGCUAAGCGAAAGUGAUAAGUAUCCCACCU